rnacentral:lncRNA from 1 species
AGCAUUAGGAAAGUUGAAAAAUCACUGAUUUAAAACAUUCCUUUCUUUAGUUUUGUAAUUUUUCACUAUGAAAUACUUUAAGAUGUCAGUUCUUUUUAAAAUAACAGAAUUGAUAAUGGAAGGGCUUGUCCAGAAGCCUUGAGACUGUUUCUAUGGACCAUCUCUCUGUCAGAAAAAAGAUCAAUACAGCAAGAAAUGGAGAAAGCAUUGACAGUCUAUAUGAGCAUCUAUGGCCUUACUUAGAGCAGCUACAAAUUAGCACUUACAAAUUCUUAGUAUCUUAAUAGAAAAUAGGCAAGGUAAAUUAGUAGACAAUUCAUAAGAACAAAGAUAGAUAAAUGCUAACUUAGUCUUCUCAUCUUAGUAUCUCUGAAGAGUGCUGGACAACAGAAAUAUAAAUUAUCUCAAGUCAACAUUAGCAAUGAUAGAUUUGUUAGAACCUGGAAGAGAUAAAUUGAUAUUAUCCAGCUGUAAAAUGAAAGAGAAGAUAUUUUGCUGAGGUGACUGUGUCGCAGUGGAAUGUAAUCCCAGGUACGGGUUCUAUUACACUCAGCACAGAUGCACGUACAGAAAGGUACUUAAGAGGCACCUCCAAAGAUGGUAAAUCAGUUGUCUGUAGUUGCUGAGGUGACAGGUGAAUUUACUGUCUUUGCUACUUCAUUUUUUUUUCUAAAUACCUGUAGUGGAUGUAAGAAUUCCUUAGCCCAUGGCCUUCUUACUUACUUUUCUAAGUCUUGCAAAUGAAGUUUGCACAGUUAUUGUCAUUCAUUGACGUGAUGUCUUCAGCUGCCUUUGCAGAAUGAUAUGUGUUAACCUUCAGUUUAUUUAGGAAUAAGUUUGCCAGGCCCUUACUUAUAUGAAUAGUGUUUCAUAUUUAUAAACAACCUCUUAACAAAAACAAAUACAUUCUUACAAAGUGAUAAUGUGUCAUAAGAAAAAAGAACAUUGAUACUGAAAGUGCUAAACAAAAUAAUUGCUUAAUAAGUUUGGUGCUGCUGGUACCAAAGUGCAUUAAUAUUUAUUUUACAUAGUGUAGCAGAUUAGUACUUUGCUUAUAUAUUGUAUCAUGGUGAUGUCUUGAUAUUCUAAGGAGAUGUUGAUUUAAUUCAUGUGGAGCGAUCAGAAAUGAUACUCUAUUAAUAUUAUCAAGAAGAUUAAAGGGUAGAUGUUUAAAUAAACAUAUUUAUGGGUCUUAAACUAUGUUAUAUAUGGAAAACAUUAAUCAUCGAAUUGAAGAUCCAUACAUAGUUCUACAUGCCUGUUUUGAACACCUGAUUUUUUUAUAAAGAAGCUAGAAAUGCACACUGGAAAAACGGACAGCAUCUUCAACAGAUGGUGCAGUAAAGCUAGAUAGCUGCAUGUAGAAGAAUCCAGAUCGAUCCAUAAGUAUAACCGUGCACAAAGCUCAACUCUAUGUGCAUCAUAGACUUCAACAUAAGGCCAGAUGCACUGAAUUCUGAUAGAAAAGAAAUGGGGAAUAACUUGAACUGAUUCCACAGGAAAAGACUUUCUAAACAGACCACCAUUAUUAGCACAGGACUAAGAUAGACAAUAAAUGGAACCUUAUGAAACUGAAAAGUUUUAGUGAUACAAAGAACACCAUUAUUCAAACAAAGUGGCAGCCUAGAGAAUGGGAAAAGAUUUUUACCAACUAUAUAUCCAAUAGAGGGAUAACGUCCAGAAUAUAAGAACUGAAAAAACUGGGUAUCAAGAAAGCAAAUACCUCAAUUAAAAAAUGAAGUACAAAGCUAUAAACAGAAUUCUCAAAAAGAAAAAGGGACUCUCAAAUGACUAAAAAACACUUAAAUGUUCAAAAUCCUUAGUUGUCAGGGAAAUGCAAAUUAUCUUAUGCUAGUCAGAAUGACCAAGAUCAAUAAAACAAACCACUGCUCAUGCUGGUGUGGAUGUAGAACAAAGAAAACACUCCUGCAUAGCUGGUGUGAAGGCAAACUUACACAACCACUAUGAGAAUUGGUGUGGUAGUUCCUCGGAAAGAUGGGAGUCGAUUUUCCUCAAGAUCCAGCUAUGCCAUUCUCAGGCACAUACCCAAAAACCGUUUCAUCCUCCCACAGGGACACUUGCUCAGCUAACUGCUGUCUUUUCACAAGUCAGAAGUAAAAGCAGCCUAGAUGUCUUGUCAUUAGAUGCAUGGAUAAAGAACACGUGCUGCAUUUACACCAUGGAAUUUUUCUCCAUUAUUAAAGAAAAUGAAGUCUUGAAAUUAGCCGGUAAAUGGGUAAAACU